UGUGUGUGUGUGUGUGUGUGUGUGUGUGUGUCUGAAAGAAGCCAUGGAACCCUGGUUUUCGAGGUUGUUUUCUGUCUUCUUUAUGUGUAAAGAACAUUCAGAUGAUGCCACUCACGUGGAUGACUUUGUGCCUGAUUCCUUUGACUGCAGUUGUGACAUUAGCUGCUGUGACUCCAGACCCUGAGCUCUUCAUUCUGACGGGUUCUGAAGGUCCGGUCUCGGCUCCAGAAGGAUCUUCUGUCACUCUGCCCUGUGGACUCUCCCCUUCCUCUAGUGCAGUACCUCUGCAGGUGCGCUGGCACCGGCCCAAUGCGUUCAGAACCCCGGUUCUGCUGUAUGAUAACCGACGGGUCCAGGGGGAACCUGCAGACCCUCGGUACCGGGGCGGGUCUCUCUGGUGGGGGAACUGGAGAAGGGGAACGUGUCCCUCAGACUGGAGAACCUCACUCUGGAGGACAUGGGGGAUUAUGUGUGCUACGCUAAGAGCACCAAAUGGUACAAUGAAUUCAGCAUCAGGCUCAAAGUGAGAGUCCAAGGCAAUACUCCAGUUGUCUCAUCGACUGAAGGAGGUGCAGGACAGGUGAUUGUUACCUGUGAGUCGGAUGGCUGGUCUCCAGAGCCAACCGUCACCUGGAGAGAUAGAAAAGGAACAGAGAUCCAUCAGAACUACAGCAACAUCCACUUCCUCAAAGAUGAGGGGGGUCUGGUGGCAGUGAGCUCCUGGCUGCUCUACAGUCCCUCUGAGGCCGAGUGGCUCUCCUGCUCUGUGGGUCUGUCUGAUCAGGAGAGGAAAGAGAGCAGGGUGGCACUACGCACCACAACCACACACACACCAACACACACAAACGGUCAGUUUUUAUACACCAUAAUAAGGACAUAUUAUAUGCUGAUGCUGUUUGUGAUG